CCCAGACUCCUACGGGAGGCAGCAGUGGGGAAUAUUGCACAAUGGGGGAAACCCUGAUGCAGCGACGCCGCGUGAGUGAAGAAGUAUUUCGGUAUGUAAAGCUCUAUCAGCAGGGAAGAAAAAAGACGGUACCUGACUAAGAAGCCCCGGCUAACUACGUGCCAGCAGCCGCGGUAAUACGUAGGGGGCAAGCGUUAUCCGGAUUUACUGGGUGUAAAGGGAGCGUAGACGGCAAUACAAGUCGGAAGUGAAAUACCCGGGCUCAACCUGGGAACUGCUUUGGAAACUGUAUGGCUGGAGUGCUGGAGAGGUAAGCGGAAUUCCUAGUGUAGCGGUGAAAUGCGUAGAUAUUAGGAGGAACACCAGUGGCGAAGGCGGCUUACUGGACAGUAACUGACGUUGAGGCUCGAAAGCGUGGGGAGCAAACAGGAUUAGAUACCCUAGUAC
rnacentral:rRNA from 1 species